AGUGAACGCUGGCGGCAGGCCUAACACAUGCAAGUCGAACGGCAGCACAGUAAGUGCUUGCUCUUACGGGUGGCGAGUGGCGGACGGGUGAUGAAUACAUCGGAAUCUACUUUUUCGUGGGGGCUAACGCAGGGAAACUUACGCUAAUACCGCAUACGACCUACGUGUGAAAGCAGGGGAUCUUCGGACCUUGCGCGAUUGAAUGAGCCGAGGUCGGAUUAGCUAGGUGGCGGGGUAAAGGCCCACCAAGGCGACGAUCGGUAGCUGGUCUGAGAGGGUGAUCCGGCACACUGGAACUGAGACACGGUCCAGACACCUACGGGAGGAAGCAGUGGGGAAUAUUGGACAAUGGGGGAAAGCCUGAUCCAGCCAUACCGCGUGGGGGAAGAAGGCCUUCGGGUUGGAAAGCCCUUUUGUUGGGAAAGAAAAGCAGCAGGUUAAUACCCCGCUGUUCUGACGGUACCCAAAGAAUAAGCACCGGCUAACUUCGUG
rnacentral:rRNA from 1 species